CUCUCGUAAGAACAAAUAUCAAUUUCGUAAAUGCAUAUCAGAUGCAUUUCGUAAAUGUAUAUCAUUCUGCUUAAGGCCAGAGAAAAUUACGAUGAUUUAGUUAAAUUCUAAAAAGGGCUCCUUAAAUCUAUUUUUCUACUGUUUCUAUUAAUCUACCUCUUUCUACAACAGCGAAAAAUCUAAACUUUUCAAUAAAGAAAAUUUUAUAUUCGAAAAAUAUGCUAUUAAAGGCACUUUAGGGGUAACAUUUCUUGUUCUGUCAUCUUUAAGUGGCUUAGAAAUUAAAUGUCAUUCCCUAGACGAAACAAAUAACAAAAUGAUGAUCUUCAUAUGAUAUAAACUCAAACUCACGAAGCCUGAAGCACUAGAUUAUUCACAGAAUACACUUCUCAACUCAUUCCGUAAAGCAACUGCAUAAAUAUUUUAUUUUUACAUGGAAUUCAUCGAUGAGUUAAGAGCAUAAAGGGAUUGAGAGUUGUGGAUGCAUAUGUUAUGCCUGAUAACCUUUCCUUCCGGAAACACCAAUAUUCUUAAAAUCAUUAUCGCAGAGAAAGCUUCAGAUAUAAUUGAAAGAGUUGCAAAAAGAAAACAUCAAUGUAGGAAGUCCAUUGUCAAUAAAAAUUAUUUUUAAUGA